rnacentral:rRNA from 1 species
UGCCAGACUCCUACGGGAGGCAGCAGUGGGGAAUAUUGCACAAUGGGGGGAACCCUGAUGCACCGACGCCGCGUGAGUGAAGAAGUAUUUCGGUAUGUAAAGCUCUGUCAGCAGGGAAGAAGAAAGACGGUACCUGACCAAGAAGCCCCGGCUAACUACGUGCCAGCAGCCGCGGUAAUACGUAGGGGGCAAGCGUUAUCCGGAUUUACUGGGUGUAAAGGGAGCGUAGACGGCAGUGCAAGUCUGGAGUGAAAGGCGGGGGCUCAACCCCCGGACUGCUCUGGAAGCUGUACGGCUGGAGUGCAGGAGAGGUAAGUGGAAUUCCUAGUGUAGCGGUGAAAUGCGUAGAUAUCAGGAGGAACACCGGCGGCGAAGGCGGCCUGCUGGACCGCGACUGACGUUGAGGCUCGAAAGCGUGGGGAGCGAACAGGAUUAGAUACCCCGGUA